rnacentral:sRNA from 1 species
UUUUCCAAGAGAUAACUUCACCAAGAUGUCCAGUGAUAGGCAAAGGUCCGAUGAUGAGAGCCCCAGCACCAGCAGUGGCAGUUCAGAUGCGGACCAGCGAGACCCAGCCGCUCCAGAGCCUGAAGAACAAGAGGAAAGAAAACCUUCUGCCACCCAGCAGAAGAAAAACACCAAACUCUCUAGCAAAACCACUGCUAAGUUAUCCACUAGUGCUAAAAGAAUUCAGAAGGAGCUAGCUGAAAUAACCCUUGAUCCUCCUCCUAAUUGCAGAUUGAAGUUUAUAAUUGCUGAGAAGGAAAUAAAAGAGGUGUGGUGGAAAGGUCUUCCAGAACCAGAGGC